rnacentral:rRNA from 1 species
UACGGAGGGUGCAAGCGUUAUCCGGAUUCACUGGGGUUAAAGGGUGCGUAGGUGGACAGGUAAGUCAGUGGUGAAAUCCCCGAGCUUAACUCGGGAACUGCCGUUGAUACUAUCUGUCUUGAAUAUCGCGGAGGUAAGCGGAAUAUGUCAUGUAGCGGUGAAAUGCUUAGAUAUGACAUAGAACACCGAUUGCGAAGGCAGCUUACUACACGAUCAUUGACACUGAGGCACGAAAGCGUGGGGAGCAAACAGG